rnacentral:rRNA from 1 species
UACGUAGGGGCAAGCGUUGUCCGGAUUUAUUGGGCGUAAAGAGCGUGUAGGCGGCCAGGUAGGUCUGCUGUGAAAGCUCGAGGCUUAACCUCGAGAUGUCGGCGGAAACCAUCUGGCUAGAGUCCGGAAGAGGAGAGUGGAAUUCCGUGGUGUAGCGGUGAAAUGCGCAGAUAUCAGGAAGAACACCCGUGGCUAAGGCGGCUCUCUAGUACGGUACUGACGCUGAGACGCGAAAGCGUGGGGAGCGAACAGGG